GGUGGCUAUAGUGCCGGGGUUCCACCUCUUCCCAUUCCGAACAGAGAAGUUAAGCCCGGCCGCGCCGAUGGUACUGCGUAACAGUGGGAGAGUAGGUAGCCGCCG
rnacentral:rRNA from 1 species